CAGUAGCCACGGGAAAACGUAGGGCGCGAGCGUUGUCCGGAAUCAUUGGGCGUAAAGCGCGUGUAGGCGGCUGAGUAAGUCUGCUGUGAAAGCCCUGGGCUCAACCUGGGAAUUGCGAUGGAUACUGGGCGACUAGAGUGCGGUAGAGGAUAGUGGAAUUUCCGGUGUAGCAGUGAAAUGCGUAGAGAUCGGAAGGAACAUCUGUGGCGAAGGCGACUAUCUGGGCCAACACUGACACUGAGACGCGAAAGCGUGGGGAGCAAACAGGAUUAGAUACCCCUGUAGUCCCUGUCUCUUAUAC
rnacentral:rRNA from 1 species